rnacentral:rRNA from 1 species
UACGUAGGGUGCGAGCGUUGUCCGGAAUUAUUGGGCGUAAAGAGCUUGUAGGCGGUCUGUCGCGUCUGCUGUGAAAAUCCGGGGCUCAACCCCGGACUUGCAGUGGGUACGGGCGAGCUAGAGUUCGGUAGGGGAGACUGGAAUUCCUGGUGUAGCGGUGAAAUGCGCAGAUAUCAGGAGGAACACCGGUGGCGAAGGCGGGUCUCUGGGCCGAUACUGACGCUGAGGAGCGAAAGCGUGGGGAGCGAACAGG